rnacentral:pre_miRNA from 1 species
UAUAAGCGUAGCCAUCAGUUUUCGUGUCUAACUUUGAUCAUCCGUCUUAUUUGAUCAUUUUUUAUGAUUAGUAUUUUUAUUGUUAUUAGAUGAUAAAAUAUGAAUACUCCCUUUGGGCUGAUAGUACUUGUCGUUUUAGACAAGGGUAAGGUCAAACUUUAGAAUCUUUAAU